rnacentral:misc_RNA from 1 species
AUUGGAAGACAGCGAAGCAGCCGCAUUUAUCUACUUCCUGUGCCAUCCCACACCCCCGAAUUCGGAUUUCAGAUUCUGCAAUCAUGGGCUCACCGAACGAUAAGGAGGAAGAGGGCACUCGCGAGCCUUUUCAUUCCUUGGAAGUGAGGGGCCAGGUGCCAGCGGCAUCUGCCUUGACGUCAAUGAUUUCCACGAACAUGUCCCCAAAGGAACAGCUCUCAAAUGGCAAAUCGAUCACACAGGCCAAUGCUGACUUACCGCUGAUAUCGGCUGCUGCUGAUUCACCCUCAAUGACGCUAAAGAAGCGCUCUUCGGCGCCGGAGUUGCCGACAUCUCUCGACGAAGACGAGGAGGAGGACUCUCCGCAGCCACUGUCGAACACGCCGUUUUUCUCGAUGAAGAACCUGAUCGUCGCGACUCCCAUUAUUCUCACACCGUUGCUUUAUGGUUACAACCUCGGAUUUGUUGGUCCGUACUCCACGAUGUACGGGUAUGCCUCCAACUGCCAGCUGUACAGCGCUAAAAAGUCGUGCGAGACGCUGACAGCAGCGAAGUGCCGGUGGUUCAACGCGUCGACGUAUGUGAGCAAUACAACGUAUGGCGAGGUGUGCGGGUGGGCGGACAGGACGACGUGCUUCCUGAAGUACAGCGACGAGGCGGGCUGCUUGUCAGACUCUGCAUGCAAGUGGAGCUACUCUGCCAACACCUGCGGCAACCAGGUGGGCUAUUCCUCGAUUCAGAGCGGCGUUUUCGCUGGGUCGUUGGUGAUCGGAUCCACGAUGGGCGCGCUGAUGGGCGGGUACCUGACAAAGCGUCUCGACUACUGCAAGAGCUUCUUGUUCAUUGGGCUUCUUAGCGUGAUCGGUAAUGUUCUGACGCACGUGGCAACGGGGCUGUUCCACUACUGGGUGUUGUUCGUUGCGCGUAUCGUGCUUGGCUUUCCCUUGGGUUGGCAGUCCAUCACGUCCUCGCACUACACGGACAAGUUUGCUCCUGCAAAUCAUGCCAAGACGCUCGGCACGCUGUUCCAGGUUUCGGUCUCGACCGGCAUUUUUGUUACGUCGUUCUUCGGUCUGGUUCUUGGCAACACGAUCCAGUACGAUGCGGCCAGCAAUGCUAAUACCAUGGGCCGCAUGCAAGGCCUCGUCUCUGUUUCCACGCUCCUCUCUAUUUUUGUGGUGUUCCUGCCACUCAUCACCAAGGACGGUUACAGCAAGAGCAGGAGGGGUGACUACGAGGGGGAAAACAGUGAAGAUGCUUCCAGGAAGGCGGCAGAGGAGUACACCAUGACGCAGAUGAUCGGGCCCAUCCUGAACGGUGUGGCCAUGGGGUGUGUGACGCAGCUGACCGGCAUCAACGCCAAUAUGAACUUCGCCCCGACCAUCAUGUCAAACCUUGGGCUGCAACCUCUGGUUGGCAACAUCAUCGUCAUGGCAUGGAACAUGCUCGCAACGUUCUGCGUGAUCCCGCUCUCGAGGAGGUUCUCGAUGCGGACCCUGUUCCUCUUCUGCGGCUUUGUCGGCUCUCUGUGCUGCGUCUUCCUUGGUGGCAUCCCGGUGUACCCCGGCGUUACAAAGUCGGACAAGGCCAUAAGCGGCAUUGCCAUUACUGGGAUUGCCAUCUUUAUCGCCCUUUACGAGAUGGGUGUGGGGCCGUGCUUCUACGUUCUGGCGGUGGACGUGUUCCCCGAGUCGUUCCGGCCUAUCGGCUCGUCUAUCACGGUGGGUGUGAUGUUUAUUUUCAACCUCAUCAUCAACAUUUGCUACCCGAUUGCGACGGAGGGCAUCUCUGGCGGUCCGUCGGGGAACCCGAACAAGGGCCAGGCCGUCGCGUUCAUUUUCUUUGGCUGCAUUGGCGUCGUGGCUUGUGUCAUCGAGUACUUCUUUCUGCAACCAUGGGUGGAACCAGAGGCUAAGAUGACGGAUGAUCUUGAUGGAGCGGCAGUACCGGAGGGGAAACACGACUGAGGUGGCGUAGGAACUGUGUAUGCGGUGGACGCACGGCUGUGCCGAGGUUUGGUUGCUUUGCUUAUUGUAGGUGCAUUUUGUGAGCUCCCUGAGUGUUCCCACAGCCAAACGGAACGGCAAGAGUGCCCUUUUCCCAGGCCGCUCUGUCGUGCGCUGCAGCCAACACAACGCAGACCGACUGCGGAGCACAGCGUGGGGCUGCCCCCUCCUACUUCAAACGUUCGUGAUCUUUCCUCUUCUGUUAGGUAUGACCACACAAACGCUGAGGAGGAGAGCUUCACACCCCACUGCUGACUCCGUACUUCCUUUUCUGUCUUGUUUUCUUCCGCCCCAUUUUCUGUUGCUUGUGUGGUCGUCUUUGCUUCAUAUAUGUAUCCUGUCGCUUUUUGUUGUUUAGCUUCCGACCGGCGCGCUCCUUUCCCUCUUUCCCUCUUACCUUUUCUCGUUUUUUUUUUGUCUUUCGUUGUCUCUACCCCCUCCUCCCCUUUCUCUCUCUGUGGUGAACAACCCGAUAUUUAACGCAGCUUCGGUUGCGUUUCUUGGAAGUUGACGCCCCCAGGCUUUCUUGUGUGGUGACUGAAGCCGAUUUUCAGAAGUGCCAGUUGCCGUGUGCGUGUGCUAGUUGUAAAAUGAUCAUCUUCUUCUGAGCUCGUUUGUGGUGUAUCUUGUCCUCCCAGCCUCCGUGUUGGAGCAGCCGCCGCAGCGGAGCACGAACUCAUUCAUAGUUACUUCCUCUUCCGUUUCUUUUCCUUCUCUCGUCUGGUCUCACCUCCCCACCCCACCCCUCCUCCUCCUUUAUGCGGGUGUUUUUUCUCAUCACCCAUCUAUUGUCCUGCACAAAUGUGAGUUCUCCUAUUGAGCUUUUUUUUCUCGUGUGCGCUCCUUCCCACGGAGCUGCGUUGCUGCUAGUGUUGUGUGCCCGCGUGAGUAUGCUCUGCCGGCCACAAUAUGCGAGACAUGACCAGAGCGAGAGAGGAGAAACGCUAAAGUUCCUUUUCCUCCUCUCUCGCGCUCUUUCCUCCCAUUCCCUUGGCGUUUUGAGGGCUUCGCCCGAACCCACCCACAGAAGCGUUAUCGCACACUGGGUGUGAAAAGGAAACCUGCAGUGGACAUACGCGAAAACAAAUAUUCAGAAGCCAAGGCAGCAUUUGAGAAAGGGCCAUGGCUGAACCAGCGACGUGAUCAUAUUUUUGAUGACCUCCUUCGUCCACUCCCCAAAAAGCACGGUAAGAGAGAGAAGCCGCCACCAGCAGCAGCUUUCACAUCUUCAGACGAACACACAUGUAAAGAAGUAUAUAUAUAUUUCUUGGGGGUCUCAGAAACCGCACACACGCACACACACCAAAAUGCCCAUAAAAACUCUCCCUCAUGGCUUUCUUUUUAUUUUUAAUCUGUGUCUUCCUUAAUCGUUUCGCCUUCGUUUUUUUUUUUUUGGUUUGUCUCGAUUGGAUUCGUUAAAGUGCUUAUGUGCAUGUGUAUGUGUAUGCUUGAGAGUGUGUCGUGUCGUGCUCUCUCUUUUUUUCUCUGCGUGCCUACCCACUUACCUGUCUCUCACGUCUCCUUUCUCAAAUCCUCUUUUCCAUCCUUCAGGGCAUCACAUGUGACACAACACACACCUACACAUGUACAGACUGGUACGGCCGUGUCGAUGUAUGUCUCUCACACAGCCUUCGUUUUACCUCCUUUUGUUUCCUGUUCAUCUAGGUCGUCAUCUUUUCUCCCACUCUUCUUUUCUCCCUUUUAUUUUUGCAGUUCCCUCCCUCGCUCCGCAACUGGCACCCUCGUUUCACGCGCAAUGCAACGACAUGCACAUGCUGUUGUCUUUUUUUGUCUGUUUGUAUCGGUGCAUGCAAACAGGCAAGCAGAAGCGUGUGGUUUGUGCACGAGCUGUGCAGACUGCGGCGUGUGUGGUGGCUCCAUAGAAAAGCUCCUUUCCUCCUUGUGUUACCCUUAUUACUAUGUUUUUUUUUUUUCUCUGUUUCCCACUCGUGGAAUACGAGAGUUGGUGUGGGGGGAUAUUUCAGGAACAGAUGGAAGAGGCUUCGACGUACAACCGCACUAAUACACACACGCACAUGCAGCAACACACACACACACACACAUACACACAAAAGGAGAAAAACAUCAAAAAGAGUGACGAAGACUGACGCAUAUAUUUACACACUAUAUGUGAGUAUAUACAUAGAUAUACUCACUUCACAGCGCCAGCUCUGAUUUUCACCCACACACACCCACACACACGUGCAUCCAAACGGAUGAGAAAGAAAGAUUCCUCUUUUUCAGGUGUGCUGUCUGUUGCAUUGUGCGUCUGCUACUGCCCUCCAGUGCAAUUUUUGUUUUACUUGCUCUUUUCAUGAUGUCGGUGCCUGUGCUGAUCCUCCCUUAUGCCUUCGUUUCUGUUGUUUCCCGAGGUAGAGCAAUGCAAAUAUGAAAAUAAAAAACAUUAAGCUAUUUGCCAUGUUACCUGCUCGUCUUAUUGCUGUCACCCUCCUUUCUUGUGCAUCCGGUCUUUUUCUUCUCCCAUCCGACCAGUGACUCUUCCAUAUAUAUAUAUAUAUAUAUAUAUAUAUAUCCGAGAGAGACACUCGCUGGCCUUUAGUUUCUCCUCUUCCUUCUUGCUCGCGUAUGUCCUCCUGUCCGAUUCGUUUGGCUCCUUCUGCAGGCGACGCUCCGUCCUGCGACAG